GCGGAAGUGGCGUAACUGGCAAACGCACAGGCUUCAAAACCCUGCUUUUAUAAGGGUUCAAAUCCCUUCUUCCGUA
rnacentral:tRNA from 2 species